GAGUCACUUCAGAGAUCAGGUCAUCUGUAGCCUAAAGAGAGCCAAGGGGGUGGCCUUGUCAUUCGCAGAGAAGGCUGAGCUCCCCAGAGAGCUGCCUCUGUGUGCUGUCACUGCCAAGAAGAGGGGCUACAAAUUUCAGCAGCUCAAGUCAGCAGUGGAGUCAACCAAGACUGAAACGGGUGCCCAGAGAACUAGGAAGAAUUGGGACCCAUAUCAAGUAAUUUUUGGUGUUCACAAAGAAAGAUAUAAGCUGCACAGGGCCAGCGAUCUCUCUUUGGUUCAUUAAUAGAACUCCAAUACCUCCCUGGAGCACUGCUUGGUGACAUGUGUUCUCCAAAUGGAAAAAUACAGUUCUGUUUUUCCCUUUCGUGAAACUGGCCCAAAGUGUGAACAAACAAGCCACGACCAGGCUGACAGACUAAAACACCGAUGGAAGUCACAUUAAAAUAAUUUUGUUCUGCAUAAUGAUGAAGCAGUGGAGCAUUCCCUCAUUAUACAGGGAACAGAUUCGGGAAAAUCGCUUUGAAGAAUGCGGCAAAUUAUUUUGUAUACUACAUCCAAGGCUACUGAACCAGAAGAAUAAGGACAUACUGCUUAUUGGAAACUGAAGUACAGGGAGGUUACUUGUCCAGUGCCACUCAACGAUUCUGGGUCCUCUAAGAGGAAUCAUUUCUCACAGAAGGAUGAUUGAGCUCUCUCAAAGAAGAGAUGGAUUAGCUCCUGAAAACAGUUAUAAAGGACCCAGUGCAUGGCAACUACUAAGCCAAGUAUAUAUAGAGAAAAAUAAUGAAAUAUUAAAAGGAAACUAGCUUUGCUAAUUUAUUGAGAUAAAAAACAGAAAAGCAGACUAGCUGAAAGUCCUACAAGAGGACAGUGAUGCUCCAGCCCAUUGGGACAUUGAGGCAUCAACCAAUGUGCCAUUAAAUAAUAAAACCUGUGAGGAGGCAAUGCGGGAGAAUAAAAGCCUAUUAAAGUGCUCCUAAGAGUUAAGACUCUUGCCAGCAGAGCCAUCUGUCAAGAGAUUAUGGAGAAGGAAAUUUCUGCAGGAAUUUUCCCUUGGGACCAGAUGAAGUGCCAAGAAAAGGUGUGUGGCAUCAGGAGUGAAGACAAACUCUGAGAGUCUUCUGCAGCGCUCAUCACAGAGAGGGAGCCCUCAAGCCACAGAGUCUCAGGGAAGAGGAAGAGCAGACCUGGAAGUCUGCAUUGUCUUUGACUGGAGAACCGAAGUCACAGGAAAAAGAGUUCAUGAAAACGAAUCUCCUUAGGGUAUCCUCAAGGCUGAGAAGUGGCCUUUGAGUAGAGUCAGCUCCCACAGUGGCUCAAGACCCAAGGCAAUUCAAGAGAAAAAAACAAAACAAAACAGCAGCUUUAUUCAAGAGACAACGAUGGCAUAUGAGUCCAGAAGAUAGGACCAACUAUGGCUUUCUGAAAUGAGAUGUUCAAGGAGACCGCAUGCUUUGGGAUCAAUUUUUUCUUUGGUCAAAAAGCACCAAGCCAAGAGUACAAAUGGAAGUCCCCUUGGCUAUUUCCCUACUCUUUUCACUUCCAGCUUCAUUCUGCACCUUGAAGAGAUCUUCUGUACACGUGGUGUGGAUGGAAUUGCCAUUGAGAUGGAGAAAGAGGAACAUAAACAGAAGGCCAGGAACCUAGAAGACAACAUUGAAAUUUCCUGGAUUCAAUCACCUUCUCACCAGUCCGAAUGUGGAACUCAGUCUCAAUUCAGUUCCACUGGAGUUGGAGUCAAAGAAUAUAAUCUACAGAUGAUUAAUCAGUUAUGCGAUUAUGUUUGAAGAACGGGGUAUUACACUACAGAUUCUUCAGAGAAGAGACAAUAGCUACCUUCAGUUUACAUUUGACAUCUGAAUGCAGUUGCUCCUGUCUUAGAAGGCUAUGUGUUACAGAUGUGAAAGGAUAAAUUCACCCCUGUGGUUGAUAUUUAUGGGAAUGCAAGGUGACGGCUGGAAUCUCAAAGACCUCCUGGAGCCUCACAGGGCGUUGCCAAUCAUCUUGGAAAUGGAGCCAACCUUGCCCUUCGGGGCCUUUAUGCCAAACAAGCCUACAUUGUCUGCAUCAAAAGGACAGAAGAUUACAGAAUAAAAACAGAAAAAGGAGAAGAAGCAAUGAUUGAAAAGAAAAGCCACCUAUAUCCUCCUGCUAAGUUUCCCUUGAGAAGAAUGAGUAAAAUGAGCUCUAUAGCCUCAUAACCAUGGAAGGGAUUUCCUGUACAAUGUUCACAACUUUGGCAAGUGGCCACAUAUGGAUUCGAGAAGAUCAUGGUGAUUCAAGCAUGGCUAUGUUGAGUGAAGUCUAUGUGAUUUUCAUUUGGAGAAGAAGAGAGUUGAUUCAUCCUGAUUGGACAAUGGUGAAUGAGACUCAGGAGCUGUGUCUGCUUCCUGACUUCUUACUUGACCAGGGAGGAUGUGAAUGGUUGUGUGAAGGGGGUUGAGUGACUCUACUGUGGGAACAAUUCCCAGGAAUGAUCUAUCUUCCUCUCUCACUGAGUGUCUACUGUGUAUUUUUAUGGCACUAAUUACUACAUGGGGGCCCUAACAGGUCACAUUAGUCCAGGGAGAACACAAGAAUCAAGGAAAACAUUGUCAUAUCAUUUUCCUGAGGUUUGCUGGUGAAAUUUUGGAACUUCUUUUCCUUUGGACUUCAAAAUAUUAACUGCCAUGUUGUAUUAAUAUAAUGUACUAAUAUUCCUUGGCAUGAUUAAUUUUUUCCUACUAAAUUUGAAGCCUUUGAAAGCUUUGUGUCUUGGGAUCAAGACUAUAGGCCUGUUAUAUUUUUUCUCAGGCUUGCCUGAAAAAUGUUUAAGUAUGAGAAUGAAAGAAUAUUGAUGCUAUCUCUCUAUACACAAAGAUUCAGCUUAGGGGAGAGAUAAAUGUUUGUCCUUAACAACCAGCUCCAAACCAGGACCAAGCACACCUCCCCCCCAUAUACAAAUCACUUCCCACAUUCCCAUAUGAUUGCACACUUGACUAUCACGGUGCUCAGUACUGUGAUUUUUUAAUUUAUUUUAUUAAAAAAUUUUUUUAAAGAUUUUAUUUAUUUAUUCAUGAGAGAGAGACACACACACACACAGAGGCAGAGACAUAGGCAGAGGGAGAAGCAGGCUCC